AAUAGAUACCCAGGUAGUCCACGCCGUAAACGAUGAGUGCUAAGUGUUAGAGGGUUUCCGCCCUUUAGUGCUGCAGCUAACGCAUUAAGCACUCCGCCUGGGGAGUACGGCCGCAAGGCUGAAACUCAAAGGAAUUGACGGGGGCCCGCACAAGCGGUGGAGCAUGUGGUUUAAUUCGAAGCAACGCGAAGAACCUUACCAGGUCUUGACAUUCUCUGCCAACCCUAGAGAUAGGGCGUUCCCCUUCGGGGGACAGGAGUGACAGGUGGUGCAUGGUUGUCGUCAGCUCGUGUCGUGAGAUGUUGGGUUAAGUCCCGCAACGAGCGCAACCCUUGAUCUUAGUUGCCAGCAUUCAGUUUGGGCACUCUAAGGUGACUGCCGGUGACAAACCGGAGGAAGGUGGGGAUGACGUCAAAUCAUCAUGCCCCUUAUGACCUGGGCUACACACGUGCUACAAUGGAUGGUACAAAGAGCUGCGAACCCGCGAGGGUAAGCGAAUCUCAUAAAGCCAUUCUCAGUUCGGAUUGUAGG
rnacentral:rRNA from 1 species